rnacentral:rRNA from 1 species
UACGUAGGGUGCGAGCGUUAAUCGGAAUUACUGGGCGUAAAGCGUGCGUAGGCGGUUUUGUAAGCCAGAUGUGAAAUCCCCGGGCUUAACCUGGGAAUGGCAUUUGGGACUGCAAGGCUGGAGCGCGGCAGAGGAGACUGGAAUUCCCGGUGUAGCGGUGAAAUGCGUAGAUAUCUGGAGGAACACCGGUGGCGAAGGCGACAUCCUGGACCGGUAUUGACGCUGAGGCGCGAAAGCCAGGGGAGCAAACGGG